UUUGAUGGAGCCGAGCCACAGGGGGUGGUCUUCGGGGCGGUCUUGUCCGUACGUCGCCAGCAACGCCUGUGCCUC
rnacentral:antisense_RNA from 1 species